rnacentral:rRNA from 1 species
UUAGAAGGCCUGACGUGUGUGAGAUU